CCUUCGAUAGCUCAGUUGGUAGAGCGGUGGACUGUAGAAGUUAACAGAAAGAUGGCAGAUAUCCAUAGGUCGCUGGUUCAAAUCCGGCUCGAAGGA
rnacentral:ncRNA from 12 species